UCACCGAUUCCCGUAAGAUCACCGAAGUUAAGCAACGUUGAACCUGGUCAGUAUUUCGAUGGAUGACCGCUUGAGAAUGCCAGGUGCUGUAAG